UACGUAGGGGGCAAGCGUUGUCCGGAAUCAUUGGGCGUAAAGCGCGUGUAGGCGGCCCGGUAAGUCCGCUGUGAAAGUCGGGGGCUCAACCCUCGAAUGCCGGUGGAUACUGUCGGGCUAGAGUGCGGAAGAGGCGAGUGGAAUUCCUGGUGUAGCGGUGAAAUGCGCAGAUAUCAGGAGGAACACCGAUGGCGAAGGCAGUUCUCUGGGCCGUAACUGACGCUGGAGGAGCGGAAAGACAUGGGGAGCGAACAGG
rnacentral:rRNA from 1 species